GGCGGAAUUGCAAAUUGAAUAUAAUCAUCAAAACGUAAAAUUCACUUAAAAUUUACCACAAAAAAUUACUUUUAAUCUAUGGAAGUGCAGUGACUUCUGGUGUGCCAUAGCCUGGUGACGCUUUUAGUGGCGUUGUCGUUCCUAUGUAGGAAUUGGUCCAUUUCCCCAGGCAUAUUCAUUCAGCAAAUGCACUUCUUUCUUGCAUUCGGUGCCUAUGAUUAUUUCAGGUAAAAACUCAUCUUUUUUUGGGUCAUAUGAUGUUUCUGCAAAUUAGUUAGUAUUGUUGUUAUUAAUGGGGGGUAAAUAAUCUGUAUUAAUUGUUGUUUUAGGCAAUUUAUUCAGUUUGUGCGUGGGUCUAGAGGCAAUAAUGCCCUAAUCUUCGUGGAAUACCAUUGUUGCGACUGACCUAAUCCCAUUUUACAGAUAUACCCUUUUCUUUACCAAACCUCAUUAAUGCAUUAGUUUUACCUAGCCCCUGUGUGUUUCCUAUUUUUUCUCCAUUGAAAUGAAAAAUAUGACCGUUAUUCAUCACAUCAAGCUACCAAAUUUAAAUUUCUAUCUCUUAUGUGGAACCCAUAACGACUAUAUUUUUUAUUUUCAUUUUUAUAAAAAUGGGAAACAAACGCCCCCUAAUUGCUAUUAUUUGUCUUGUGUUUAAGCCUUUUUGCGUGUUUUUAGUAUUGCAAUGUAGUACAUGGGAUCGAGUUGAGUGUAUUUUUUGAUUGUCUGUUUAUAUGUUCUAGUAAGGCUUUGUUAUUAUUAUUAUUAUUUCUUUCUUUCUUUAUUUUUUUGUGAAUAGUUGGAAAUUGAUGUUGAAUCAAGAUGACUUUCUGUCAAAAUCAUGUCAUCAAAAUAUAUAGAAUCACUUGUAACUUUGAUACCAAGUGUGAAGGGAAAGCAAGAGUACGAGGAUGUUUAUUUCUAGAGUGUCGACUAGCUGAGAGCAUAAGUGAAGAGUUCCAAGAAAUAUAAAUGAUAACAUUAUAUAAUUGAGAGAUAUACAGAAUAUCAGCUCGAUAACAAAAUUCUAUCACGAGGGUUCAACAGUAUCGUAGGUGAACCCCAGUAUUGUACUGCUUUCUAUAGACUCACAAGGAACUAUAUAGAUGUUUUCAAACGAGUGUCUUAUUUUUAUUUGUAAAUCGAAAUUAUAUUUUUUUGACAAACUCCAGUUGAAAGUAGGACUGGACAAAACUCAUGAAUUUAAUCGGACCCGAACAAAAAUGCGUGGUUCGAUUCAAUUCUUCUUAAGUAAAAUACCUGAAUGGGUAUCAAAAUCGAUAACUGAAUGGUUUGGUUCAAUUCUAGAUCAAGAACCAAAGAACUAAUAAGAAUCAAAUUUCCAUUUUUUUUUAAAUUUUUUUAUAUUAAAUAAGCCAAUUUAAUUUUUUUCUAAAUAAGUUUACCAACUAAUUAAUUGAGUUUACCAACUAAAUAAUUAAUUUUUUUCUAAAUAAGUUUACCAACUAUAUAUAUAUAUAUAUAUAUUAUUUUUUUUUUUUUGGUUUUCAGCUCAAGUCCAACUUGGUAAUUCAAAUUUCAAGGAAUCAAAACGACCUAAGGGGAUGUUUGAUAGUCAUUUUUAUGUAAAAAUACAUUUUAGAAUAGUAAAUUGAUGUGAAAUGUAUGGUUGAAAAAUAAGAUUUUUUUUUAUUUACGUGUAAUAUUAUUUUAAUAAAGAUACGUGAUUGAAAAGAAGAAAGAGAAAAAUGCAUUUUGAAAAAAAUGACUACCAAACGGAUAUUAAGUUUUUUUUCAAAUCUCAAUCAUUUUGCCAUUUUUAAAGGAAUCGAAGUUGAGCGGCUGCGACCCUCUUCCUCUUACCAUUUUUUCUCCAGGGAUUCAUUGAAUUUUUUCUACUUUGAUCAAGAUAGCUUCAUCUCAUUCAUUUAAUCCUUUCUAAUAAUGUUUAUUGUAAGCUCGCGUAUUUAUAUGUUUUUCUCUCAGUAGCUACCUUCCUUGCCGUGUUCUUUAUUUUCACCCUUUUUCAGACAGUAUUAGUCAGCUAAUACUUAUGAAUGUCGGCCUAUAAAACAUUUUAAGGCUAUUUAUCAACAAAACAUCCCCUAUUUUCUUCUUUUCAACACAAGAUUUAAACCUUGAAAGAAGAUAAUUCAACUAGACAGUGUUAUUUUGUAAUUGUUAAGAUUGAACAUGUUAUUAGUUGAAUAAUGGAGUAUUGUUGUAAAUGUAAAAAUAUAUAAUUAUGGUAUGAAACCGAACCGAAUAAAUUUGGACCCUACAAUUAUACUUACUAAAUACCCGAAAAUUCUUGUUUGAUUGGAUUCCUUUUAGAAUUGAACCGAAUCAAAUCAUGUCCGGCCCUAGUUGAAAGGACCUUAUACCAUAUGAAUUUUGAGGUGCUACAUAUGUUUUUCCAUUUUACUCCAACAAGAGUUAUAUCCUAAUCCAUACAACUUCUGUACUUGGUCAAAAUUUCUGACUAGUUAAUCAUCUUCCUCGCCUCAAAAGGGUCUUUGUAGUUCAUGACGAAAAUAAUGUAGGUAUGCAUUUAAAUUCCUUUUCGUGAGUAAGGUAUAGUCAAGAUUGGACCAUCGGAGAACCCGCCCGAUAAAAGAGGAGAAAAUGUUUAUAGAACCAAGUGAUUUGGUCUAUAAUCAUAUUUCAGUAUCCUCAAUAGCUUUUGUGCUUGGUUACGAAAAUUUUGUACAAUGUGCCAUAUCCUACUUAUCCCUUGCUUUUGGAUGGCGUUAUAGCUCUCCAAACUUUUUAGCCGAAAAAAUGAGUUAGAAAAUUUAGCUAAACAAAAAAGGGAAAGUAUAGAAUCACAUUUUUCAAAAAUCAAAUUGUGCCAAAGGAUUAGCCCUUUUUAGUGCUAGUCUAGAAUUCGAAAUAGGAAGAUGAUGCCAGGGCAAAAUGAACAUUUUUUCUUGUUUCUUCUUUGUUUUUAACCUUUUUGUAGAAAAAUAUUUAUUAGCCUUUUUUCCGUCUGAUUGCAGAUCAUGUAUUUGGGUAUUAUUGGAGCUACUUAUUACUUCAUUGCUACCUCAUCAUUCAGCUACAUUCCUGGAUACUACUUAAGUUGAUUUCACAGGUGU
rnacentral:lncRNA from 1 species